rnacentral:rRNA from 1 species
GACGAACGCUGGCGGCGUGCUUAGCACAUGCAAGUCGAACGGAAAGGCCCUGCUUUUGUGGGGUGCUCGAGUGGCGAACGGGUGAGUAACACGUGAGUAACCUGCCCUUGACUUUGGGAUAACUUCAGGAAACUGGGGCUAAUACCGGAUAGGAGCUCCUGCUGCAUGGUGGGGGUUGGAAAGUUUCGGCGGUUGGGGAUGGACUCGCGGCUUAUCAGCUUGUUGGUGGGGUAGUGGAUUACCAAGGCUUUGACGGGUAGCCGGCCUGAGAGGGUGACCGGCCACAUUGGGACUGAGAUACGGCCCAGACUCCUACGGGAGGCAGCAGUGGGGAAUAUUGCACAAUGGGCGGAAGCCUGAUGCAGCAACGCCGCGUGCGGGAUGACGGCCUUCGGGUUGUAAACCGCUUUCGCCUGUGACGAAGCGUGAGUGACGGUAAUGGGUAAAGAAGCACCGGCUAACUACGUG